GUUUCGGGCGCGGGUCUGGCUCGGCGCCAGAACUUUUGAACCCCGAGCCAACAAUUCUGCCAAAUUUGAGUAUCAUUUGUUGAGAGUGUAACGUUAGACGUUUAGAAACGUCAUGCUCAUCUUGAAGUAGAUUGUUUAUCUUUUGAACAAAUUUCUUUUGGUGGAAUGAGCCAUCAGAAUUACCGAUGGUGUUGGAGAAAAUUAUUUUUUGCGACCAUCGUCCCAAGUCGGGCAACACUCGAACGGUUUCCGGUGGAGGACAAUCCCUAAGACAAAUUUGUCUCCAUAUCUUACUCAGCUCCUGCAGCCAGUGGCCAGCAGUUGAUUUUGCCGCCGAUGUCCUACACUGAUCCGGUGGCAGAUUGUUCGAUUAGCCGGGGUUCGUGGCAACUGCAACAACAUAACUUUCGAUGCUAAUUACAGACAUGAUGAUGCCAAUCACGAUCAUUACCGCUUCUGAAAUGCAUUGCCUCCUCAUCAGAAGGUGGCGUCAACUGAUUUCCCGCAGAAUCCGGUGCUGAAGACUAUGUUCGGCGCUGCCAAUCAACACCGGUGUGAUUAUGAUCAUGGCCAACAAUUCGAAUAAAGCCUUAAUGGUCUAGAUCUGCAGCUUCGCCAGCAACUGGGUGGUCGCUUCCAGCGGAAUGUUCUGCACGGCUAGAGGAUUCCUCUUUUUAACGCCAAUGACCGUUUGCGGGGGAUGAUUCAAAUGAGCCAUUGCGUCCCACAAAUGUGGCUCAAGAAAAGGCGUUUUAUAUUCGAAUUAGAUAAGGGUUUAGUUGGUCGACUCGUGUCGUCUUUUUAUAACUGUAAAUUUCAAUAAAACAAUCCCCAACAUCCUCA